CUCUGCUGAAUGCUGAUUCUGCAUAAGAUUACCAAUUAUUUAUAAUUAACUUUAUUUUACAUUCCAUACAUCUAUUAUCAAUUAAAAAGUAAUUAAAAAUGGGCGAGGUAUCGUUAGAAACAUCCGCCUAUGCAAAAUUAAUACUACAUGCGGCGAAAUAUCCGCAUUGUGCUGUGAAUGGAGUACUUCUUGCUGAUGGUACUAAAAUAAGAUCGGGAGCCAAAAAUCAAGACUUAGAUAUUGUGGAUACGGUGCCAUUGUUCCAUCAUAGUCAUUAUUUAUCUCCAAUGGCAGAAAUUGCCCUCACACAGAUAGAGACAAUAGCCCAGGCUGAUAACAGAGUUAUAGCUGGUUAUUAUGCUGCCUGUGAGAAUUUCCGAGAUAAUACAGUUGAAAAGUGUCCAGGACAAAAGAUCGCUGAAAAGAUUGUUGAACAUUUUCCAUCAGCUGUCUUCAUAGUUAUUGACAAUAAAAAGUUUGUGCAACAUUUGGAGACUCCAGCUAUAAAGCUACACAAGUACACCGAAGGAAAAUGGAAGCCAAAGGAUGCCAACAAAGUGCUGUUCCAAACACCAUAUGUAUUGGAAACUGUUUCGCACUUACUACAGCGUGGUGUACAGAAGGACCUUAUAGAUUUCGACAACUACUUGGAUGAUCUCUCACAGGAUUGGACUAAUCUAGGCAUUGAAAAACUUAUUGCCAGUAUAAAUGCAUCAAACUCCAUUGAUUGUAUGGGAUUUGAAAAGGAUACCGAGUCUCACUUCCAGGAACUUAAAUACUGAUUAAAGUCAGAAUAGCUUGUAUGUCUGUAAUCUGAAUGAUCAUUGACUGAUGGCAGCCAAUCAUGCAAGAGCGACGAAUGAGUCACCUUUUAAACUAAAUUUUAUCUAAAUAUAUUAUCUAGACUCAUUGAAAGCUACAGAUUAUAAAAGCCAAAUAUUACCUAGACUCAUUGAAUACAACAGAUUAUAUCCAAAUAAGUUAAUCCUGGUUUAACCAAUAAUCAAAAACUGGAGUAUAAUAAAGAGAUUGUUACAAAAGAGUCAGUACCACUGUAUGUUGUAUAACCCUUAAACAAAAUAAAUGUAAAAUGGUAUAGGUAAAAAAUAUUGUUUAAUUUCUGGGAGAAUUGUUAUAUUAUUUGACUUAUAUUAUGUCGAUGAGACACGUUUAGUAGAUUUAUUUUAGUUAUUAUUGAUUGUUUUGUUAAAGGACUGUUUUCACUGAGAAUGGAAUUACAUAUUGGCAUUUCUUUGAUAAUAUAGAAAAUUAUUCUAUAACAUUCUAGAAUGUAUUAUGAAAAUUAACGAUGAAAUCAUUGUCAGUUUCCAUGAAUUGGUUUCAAAAUAUUAUAAAGCUAAAGACAUUUCAAUAGGGU